rnacentral:rRNA from 1 species
UUUUAUGGAGAGUUUGAUCCUGGCUCAGGACGAACGCUGGCGGCGUGCUUAACACAUGCAAGUCGAACGGUAAGGCCCCUUCGGGGGUACACGAGUGGCGAACGGGUGAGUAACACGUGGGUGACCUGCCCUGUACUUCGGGAUAAGCCUGGGAAACUGGGUCUAAUACCGGAUAUGACCUUCCCCUGCAUGGGGGUUGGUGGAAAGCUUUUGCGGUACAGGAUGGGCCCGCGGCCUAUCAGCUUGUUGGUGGGGUAAUGGCCUACCAAGGCGACGACGGGUAGCCG